rnacentral:rRNA from 1 species
UACGUAGGGUGCGAGCGUUAAUCGGAAUUACUGGGCGUAAAGCGUGCGCAGGCGGUUUUGUAAGCCAGAUGUGAAAUCCCCGGGCUUAACCUGGGAACUGCAUUUGUGACUGCAUCGCUGGAGUACGGCAGAGGGGGAUGGAAUUCCGCGUGUAGCAGUGAAAUGCGUAGAUAUGCGGAGGAACACCGAUGGCGAAGGCAAUCCCCUGGGCCUGUACUGACGCUCAUGCACGAAAGCGUGGGGAGCAAACAGG